UUAAGUUCAGCGGGUAUUCCUACCUAAUCCGAGGUCAACCAUUAGAAAUAUAGGGGGUUUCACGCCGGCCGCCAAAGCCACUACCAGAAGCGAGAAACAAGUACUACGCUUAGAGUGUGCUCUAACUCCGCCACUACCUUUAAGGAACUACGCUGUAACCUGUAGAUUCCCAACGCUAAGCUACUGAGGCUUAAGGGUUG
rnacentral:misc_RNA from 1 species